GCUUGAAUAGCUCAGUUGGUAGAGCAAUCGGCUGUUAACCGAUCUGUCGUAGGUUCGAGUCCUACUUCAAGCGCCA
rnacentral:tRNA from 1 species